rfam:Mesocricetus auratus contig060119, whole genome shotgun sequence.
AUUGCUUCUUGGCAUUUUUGCUAAAAUCGAGUGUAUUAUCUGCCCUUAUCAGUUUAAUAUCUAAUGGGGUUGAGUCUUUGAUUUGAGUGAGCAGAAAAUAAAGUGGCAACAUCAU